GCAGUCGAGCGGUAGAGAGGUGCUUGCACCUCUUGAGAGCGGCGGACGGGUGAGUAAUACCUAGGAAUCUGCCUGGUAGUGGGGGAUAACGUUCGGAAACGGACGCUAAUACCGCAUACGUCCUACGGGAGAAAGCAGGGGACCUUCGGGCCUUGCGCUAUCAGAUGAGCCUAGGUCGGAUUAGCUAGUUGGUGAGGUAAUGGCUCACCAAGGCUACGAUCCGUAACUGGUCUGAGAGGAUGAUCAGUCACACUGGAACUGAGACACGGUCCAGACUCCUACGGGAGGCAGCAGUGGGGAAUAUUGGACAAUGGGCGAAAGCCUGAUCCAGCCAUGCCGCGUGUGUGAAGAAGGUCUUCGGAUUGUAAAGCACUUUAAGUUGGGAGGAAGGGCAUUAACCUAAUACGUUAGUGCUUUGACGUUACCGACAGAAUAAGCACCGGCUAACUCUGUGCCAGCAGCCGCGGUAAUACAGAGGGUGGCAGCGUUAAUCGGAAUUACUGGGCGUAAAGCGCGCGUAGGUGGUUUG
rnacentral:rRNA from 1 species